AAACACGCAAUAAAAUAAGAAGGAAAAAAAUACAAACCCACAAAACUACAAAACUCAGCCAGAUCGUGUGAAGAGCAGCUCCUUUCAGUUUUUACCCCAAUAUCAUCCCUCAAUCAAGCAUCAGUUCAUUUCAGUUGCAGAAAACUUUUUCUUCGGUGCUCUCCUCUUCUUAUUUGCUUUCCUCCUCUCUUUUUUUCGUCUUUUGUCUUCUGAUGCUAUAUGAACUCAAGACAAGAGGAAGGGGGGUAGUGGAGAAAUUAAUUGCUCAAUUGUUUUGAGUGUUUCAAUCACCAAUUACAGUGAAUGCGUGCUUGGAAAUGGAGAGGAACUCAAUUCCAUAAAUAAAUAUUUCGGGGGUUCUUUGAUGUGGUUGUUGAUAUUUUAGUUGUCUCUAGCUCUGAUAUUCAUUUUUCUUUUCAUUUUUCAAUUGUUUAAGUAGAUACAGUUUGCUGCAGGAGAAAGCAGCACAAUAGAGACUCAAAACAGAUAGAGGGAUAGGGAAGCAUCAUGGUGAGUCAACAUAAGCAUUGAUCAUGACUUCUUCUAGCAGUGAAUCAAAGUCGCUCUUCUUCGUGGACAAGUCCAAAGAUUUAGGUUUGGCCAAAAGGUGCUGGCAAUGGCUACAGCGACAUAUCCACCACCACCACCACCGUAUAUAAGCUCUACAAAGAUUACUUGCAAAACCCCAAAAGGGACAUAAUUUGCUAUGGUGGCAAUUACACUAUGGAAUCGUCUCUCACCUCUCUGACGUAUAAGGGUUCGAUUCCAUACAUGAAGCAAAAGAAGUAGAGGAAACUAUGUAUUUCAUGUUUUUCAGGUCAUUUCUUUACUGAGCUAGACUACCAAUAGGCUACAAUUGCUACAAGGGGAGAGGCCAUCCAUGGUUGAAGAAGGGCAAUGGAUAUACCAUACACCUACCUAAAUGAGCAAAGGAAGAUUGAUGUAACAAUUAGCAAGGAGUUGCUAUAGGAUUCUAUGCAAUGAAGUGUUUCCACUACUUCAACAACAAAAUAAAGGAGGUGGGAACGAAGAUUGCUACAGAAUUGAAAGAACAGAGGAACUCUGAUUAUUCAGGAGCUGCAUACGGUCAUUAAGUCUUCAUGCUCAACAAAAUCACCCCACUCUCAAAUAUGUUAAUGAGAUAUGAGUACAUUUGCUGUUUUAUGUAGGAUCUUGGUAUUUGUAGGUAUUUUUAAUGGCGAA